GGGAAUCACUAAUCUUGGUGGUAU
rnacentral:siRNA from 1 species